UACGGAGGGUGCAAACGUUGCUCGGAAUCACUGGGCGUAAAGGGCGCGUAGGCGGCUCAUGAAGGCUGUGGUGAAAGUCCGGGGCUCAACCUCGGAUCGGCCGUGGCGACUCGUGGGCUGGAGCACUGUAGAGGCGGGUGGAAUUCCGGGUGUAGCGGUGGAAUGCGUAGAGAUCCGGAAGAACACCAGUGGCGAAGGCGGCCCGCUGGGCAGUGGCUGACGCUGAGGCGCGACAGCGUGGGGAGCAAACAGG
rnacentral:rRNA from 1 species